GGAUAGAAUAGAAUCUUAUGGUGAAGUUUCUCACAGAAUCAAAUGAGAGAGAUUAAAUCUGUGGCAAGACCAUUUCGUCCUCUCGUAUAGACCCCAGUUGAAGGCUGUUUCCCUCACCAGGUUUUGUCUCCGAGUCAAGAGAAAACUGAGCUCUGGAUUUUGUAAAAGCCCCUCUAUUAACCCACCCGCCGUGGUAACCUAAGGCCCUCUCAGCUAUAGCUCAGAAACACAUCGCCGAAUCGCUCAGUUCUAACUCUGCCAUUCUCAGACCCACGUAUUUCUCGGCUCGCCUGAAGUCCAGUGAGAACCGGCUCCCAGCCCCGUUGUGCUCGCUCCCGACAGACCUUCGGAAGAGCUGAGAUCUUCAAAGCCGACUAAGAGAAGCAGAUCAGAUGUCUGAAAAUGGAUGGGAACUGGCUGCCCAAAUCCGAUAGGCAGCUCUGUUAAUCCCAGCCCGAAUACAGAAUGACAUAUGUUCUUUAUAAAAGGAGAAUGAUUUUCUUCCCUAAAUACCAUGCGAUAUUCAAUGUCACCGUUUAGGGAAUUUCUUUUUCGCCCGGAACAUGUUAACAGCAGGACCUAUCUGGCCCUUACAAACACAUUUCGACUUUCAUACUUUUACAUGUUCAUAAUGAACAUCACAAAAAUUGACCUCACCUGACAACAAAAGUAGACUGCAGAGCUGUACUCCUAGACACAGCAUGCUGGCUACAGCUUCAAACUAACCUCGUGGUUACUCCGUGUCUGUAGCGAGCAAGAGAAUAUUUCUUCCGCUUCUGUUAAUUUGUUUGUUGUUUCCUUUAUUUAUUUUAAUGAUUGUGCACGAUGUAAAAAUGAGCCCUGCUUUUUCUGUAAGCCCCUCUUCAUUUCCUUCCCGCCUUGCGACGCUAAAGGUAUCGUACUGUACAUAUCAACAAAAUACAAAGUCAAAGGUUAAAUAUGCAGGUCUGGAGCGCCCUCUAGUAGAUAUUGACAGCAACCAAUAAAAACUAUUAGAGACCACCC